AGUGAACGCUGGCGGUAGGCCUAACACAUGCAAGUCGAACGGCAGCACAGUAAGCGCUUGCUCUUACGGGUGGCGAGUGGCGGACGGGUGAGGAAUACAUCGGAAUCUACUUUUUCGUGGGGGAUAACGUAGGGAAACUUACGCUAAUACCUCAUACGACCUACGGGUGAAAGCAGGGGAUCUUCGGACCUUGCGCGAUUGAAUGAGCCGAUGUCGGAUUAGCUAGUUGGCGGGGUAAAGGCCCACCAAGGCGACGAUCCGUAGCUGGUCUGAGAGGAUGAUCAGCCACACUGGAACUGAGACACGGUCCAGACUCCUACGGGAGGCAGCAGUGGGGAAUAUUGGACAAUGGGCGCAAGCCUGAUCCAGCCAUACUGCGUGGGUGAAGAAGGCCUUCGGGUUGUAAAGCCCUUUUGUUGGGAAAGAAAAGCAGCAGGUUAAUACCCCGCUGUUCUGACGGUACCCAAAGAAUAAGCACCGGCUAACUUCGUG
rnacentral:rRNA from 1 species